AAGUCGUAACAAGGUAACCGUAGGUGAACCUGCGGUUGGAUCAUUACCAAAUUUUUAGACGGCUUCGGCCGUUCUAAAUAAAACCUCUUGUGAACUUGUAUUUUGUUCUUGGUGGUUAGAGCCUUGGGAAUCGGUUAGUAGUACCUUGGUUCUAAGUAAAUUUGGGACGUCAGGCUGCGGGAAAAGAUAAUAAAUGAGUACCGUGGGUCGGUUUCGAGCCAUCAACCUGUAAACAACCUAAGUCUUCUUCUAUUUUUUUGUCUUACUUUAUUCUCCGUUUAACUACGGUUGAAUAAUAAAAAAUUAAAUACAACUUUUGGCAACGGAUCUCUUGGCUCUC
rnacentral:misc_RNA from 1 species